AGCACGACACAUAAUGUUAUAUAAACGCUUUCAUCACACCUUUAAAUGUCAACAAAUCUUUUAAAUACUAUUUAAUUUCAAAUGCAAAGACAGUGGCGUAGUAUUAUUAAAUGAGAUUGUACAUUUUAGCCUGAGGAGUGCAUAACUAAUUUUUGAUUCGUUUUAUCAAGCACUAGUAACGUUUAAAGAUGAGUAUGAGGUUUUGUUUUCAAAUUUGUGUUUUUUCCUUUAUUUUCUGCCACUAUGUUGACGCUCAAUUCCUUGCGGGAAACUCAGGGUGGCCGCCAAGUGGAAAUGUUAUACCCCGUGUGACCGCACCAGCACGUAAGUAGAAAAUAAAAAUAACUAAUGACUUUAUUCUAUUGAACUAGUAUGUAUAUUUGUUUAGGGGCCAGCUGAAGGACACCUCCGGGUGCGGGAAUUUCUCGCUGCAUUGAAGACCUGUUGGUGACCUUCUGAUGUUGUCUGCUAUAUGGUCGGGUUGUUGUCUCUUUGACACAUUACCCAUUUCUAUUCUCAAUUUUAUUAACAUUAAAUUCAUUCUGAAUACAUAGUAUAUGACAUGAUAUAGUCGCUUGCACAUUAUGUUUGUCAUUCAAAAUGGCUUCUCAAAUCUAAGGUGUCAAAUAAGGCAGAUUACGGUAACCGUAAUGAUAUUCAAUUGAGAAAUUCUGGUUUUAUUGCGUUAAAUUCAUUCUGAAUACAUGUUAUAUGACAUGAUAUAGGUGCGUGCACAUUAUGUUAAUCAGUCAAAAUGGCUGCUCAAACCGAAGGGCUCAAAAUGACCUCUAAUUAGUAAAUACUUGUAGGAUCAUGUUCGGUCAAUAGUCACUGAAGCGUUCGUGGCACAAAGUUAAUGCAUACAUGUAUACGCAACUGUUUCAUAUUAAUACACAAUGACAAAAAAAAUCAAAAAAUCUGAAUGUAGCAAAAAUAUACAAAAUGGUCACCAUGUACAAUGCUUUGAUAUGUUUACUGUUUGAUAUUUUGGUGUAAAAUUUCAUCUUCCACACGCUUGACUUUAUUAUGUAUAUGUUGACGAUCUUGGAGUGUCUUUAAAAGUACCCACUGUAGGUAGGACAAAACUGACAAAUUAAGAUCGUAGUCGAUAUUACCCUGCCACAAUCGGUGCUUCUAACUAUUAUCACUAAGGUUGAAAGUCAGGUGAUCACUAAGGAUCAAGUACUUAGACCGCUUGGCUACUGUGGUAUUCUGUAAGUCGAGGAAGCAAAGUCAUUAUCCGGACCCAAAAAUAGGCAUACCAGCAACAAAAACCAGUACACAUGAUUUUUAACAAACCUUUCUGAAACUGUCUGUAUAUAAAUUAUAAAGAAACUAAAAGUUUCAACUCCCUGAGGCACGGUUUGCCAUCGAUACAUUUGCUAUUACUUUUAUGUCAUGUUUGUCAUUACAGCUUGUAAAAUGUUUCGAUUCUAAUACAUCAUUGGCUUUUAGAUAUUCGGCCUUGAGUGUUCCCAAUUAAUGAAUGUUAUAUCUGUAAAAUGCUUCAGAUACAUGAAAUUAAUAAACAAUAUUAAGCAAUUCUGGUUAAACUAGCUUUCCUUAUUCAAAGCUAUGAUGCAUAGCCCGCCUUCAGCUAUAUCUUUUGUCCUCCUUGUUAUAAUCAACUCUUCAAUUCCUGAUUUAUUUUCGGAUUUUUAAUGUGGCCUUGAGCACCACUACUGACGAAAUGCGCAUUUGGAGUGUAAAUGGUGCCGUUUAUGUUAUUACUACCACUAGGGUCAUAACUUUUCUGAUGGACCGCUACCAGAGAUUAUCACCAGCCCAGUACUGAAACGACAGCAAACGCAAAACCAAGAUUGUUUUUACCGACAAAUGACAUAAAAAAUUAAAAACAUAUAAUUUUGAAAUUCAUCAAAUUAUCUCAUUACUCUUAACCACUGUUAAUGCUCCUUACCCCGCCCUGAUUUUUCUUACUUGUCUUGAAUAUUGUAUUCGUCAGUUGUGAAUGACAAGGGACAUAAUAAGUUAUUUAUCGUAAUUCGCUGAAUGUCUAAUAACAACAUUUUAUUUCACCAAUGUAUUAUACAAUGUCAUUAACUAUCUUUGAUUAAGUUAUGAUGUAAUGUUAUUCACAGUUUAAUAAGAGUGUAGUGUGUGAAUCUACUACACUUUUGUAUGAUAUUACAAAAAUAAUGACUUUAGUGGUGUAAUAAAUAACGAAGAAAAAAAAAGUAAAAUUGAGAAUGGAAAUGGGAAAAAUGCCAAAGAGACAAUAAUCCGACCAAAGAUCACCCAACAGCCGAAGUCCAACGGGUCUUCAAUGUAGCGAGAAACUCCCACACCCGGAGUAGGGCUUUAACUGGCCCCUAAACAAAAAUAUAUACUAGUUAAGUGAUAAUGGACGUCAUACUUAACUCCCAAAUAUACACAAGAAACUAAAAUAAAAAUCAUACAAGACUAACUGAUCAGAGGCUCCUGACUUGGGUCAGGUGCAAAAAUACAGCGGUUGUUUUUUGAGAUCUCAACCCUCUCUUAUACCUCUAGCCGAUGUAGAAAAAAACACACACAACAAUACGCACAAUUAAACUCAGUUAAAGGGAAGUCCGAUUCCGAUGUCAGACUAGGUAACAAAAGAAACUCCUUUGGCUCAAAAUGUAUAUUUUCAAUUCAUAACAAAAACAAAGGAUAUGGGGUCACUAUCAAUGAGACAAAAUCUGUACAUCUGUAUAAAAAGCAAAAACAAAAAGCAUAGGAAAAGCGCUUUUAUUGCUGUUCUUCAUCUUAAAGUUGGGAAUGAAACUAUGAAAGGCUGAUACAUAUAAUCAGUGGAGUAAAGUAAAAUAAACUGUUUCGCAUAUGAUAUAACACAAUGUUCAAAAUGGAAUAUAUACGAGAAAAAUUUAAAAUAAACAUUAGUAAACAUAAUCUAUAUACAUGGUGUCAGUUUUUUUUAAAAUUGUCACCAAUUACAAAAGAUUUACUACUCGCUCGUUCAGCUCAGUUUCAAUACAACAAAUUUAUUUUCCUUUUAAGCUCGAUGCAGUGCAAUCAAAAGUAUCAACUGUGAAAAAUAUGGUUUCAAUGUCACAAUGUUCCCGACUUUUCUUGGGCAUCUAAAUGUAGAAGCUGCUGAUGCCCUGCUGACUCACACAUUUAAAAAUACUAUUGUAUGUCCAAUUCCAAGACAAUCUGCCGAAUUGAUAGGAUGUGCCAUUAUUCUUCCGCUUUGUGAAAUGGGUAAAAAAGUGCCCCCAUGCCAGGAGGAUUGCACAGGUAAAAACAUAAAGUAUUAUAAGUAUUUUGUAUGUUCAAUAUUUUUGAUGAUAUUCUUUGAUAAUACUAUUGAGGAUCUAGUUAAUAAAGUACUACAACAUUUUUAGUUUGAUCUUUAGUCUCCGUCGUUUAUAUAGGCUUUGGUUUUUCAAAUACGGCCUUGAAAAUCACUGAAGAUACAUCUUCAAUGGUCGUACUGGAAAGCAAAGAACUAGUGUUUACAAACAAAACAAAAACGUUGUUACAUUUUCUCAAAAGCCAACUAAAAUUAUUGCAAUGGUUAAAUAACCGUAUCUAAUUAUUAGCUUGUCAGCCAAGCAUAACUGACAUAAGAUUGAAUACAAGUAAAAAGUAUAACACAAUUUAUAAAAAUUACAGUCAAUGUUUGCCAGACGUAGUCAUAUCUAGUUUCUAGAUGUAAAUAAAAUUUGUUGAUUUUCAAAAUGCCGAUUAAUGAAUUUUACACGAAAAUUUGAUCAUAUUGACCUUUGAUCCAUGAAUUAUAAACAGAUUCUAAAACUGCAUUUAGUGUGAUACGAUAUUUAUCCACUCGAAACAGUUAACGUUUCAAAUUUAAAACGCGAGGCUCGCUGAACGUUUUGAAUAUCUAAAAUGUAACUGUUGAGAGUGGACAAAUAUCGUAUGACACGAGAUUUGGUGGUUGAAUCUGUUUCUCUAAUGCUUUUAUAACAAUAUGCAGGCAAACUUAUUCUUUUUUUCGAAUGAUCUGCAAAAAGAUGUGUUCUUUCUAAGUGACGUUAUCAGGUAUGGUCGCCUUUUCAUGCCGUCACAAUAGGAAAUUCAGAGGAAAGCAAGAAGAUUCGACGUCAUCAUCGGAUUUUAACCAAUGAAGAACUGAGAUCAAAUGAACCAUACGUUGAUUACAUUUUGUUAAACAACGGAUGCAGAAAGGGAUAAAUUGACGAAGAAUUAGAGAAAUGGAUAUAUAUCGACGAUGAAUAUGAAUCAAUCAUUUAUCAAAAACGACAAAAGCACACUUCGCUAUAUGUAUACAUUCUUCAAUAUUGAAAUUAACAUGUUAAGCAUACAAUUCAAUAAAAUAUUGUUUAAUAUCAAAUCUUUGUAAAUACUAUGUUGAAAUACAUUCAAAGUUUAUAUUAAUAGUUCAAAACUCGUAAAUCUCAAAGCGUUUUUACAGCAAGUAGAAUAUUUUGUGAUUGUUCAUUUAUUGGUUAGACAAUUUCUCACUUCUUAAGGAUUAUUUACCCUUUUGUUGAUUCACUGCUAAACAUAUGGAAAUUUUAUACAAAAAUCCACAGCCUUUAUCCUUGUAUUCAAAUAUUUGGCAAUCUGUUGGCUGAUAGAUAUAAGAUUAUUGCAUGCAGUGCUAGCAUCGAUUUACUUAAAAAAACAAGUUUAUUAAUGUAGUUAUUGGUUAAAACGAAAAAAAGUAUGGACCAAACCAAGUACACCUUUUAAGGUGCACUCGACUUAAGUGACUCAGUACGAGGUAUUUUGGAAUUUACAGGUUGAUUAGAACUUUUUGUAAAAAAUGAACACUUGCACAUCAUAGAAAAGCAAGUGAGUAAUCUAUGUUUCAAAUUUUAUAACACAAAUAUCUGUAUUAAAGGCUGUGUUUUUUCUAUAAAAAUCUUGGUUUAUUUGCCACAAAGUACUCUUUUUCUAUUGAAAGGAAACAGUAAAUAAUAAUACUUUGCAUCAAGUACCCCCUUGGUAUAUGUACAAAAUGGCCUAUCUCUAUUGUAGUUUUGAUACAAUUGUAGUUUGAAAAAUUCGUACAAAAAUGGCUACAGAAGGGGUCAUAAACCAUAAUGAUACAUUCAUGGCAAAUUUUAACUCAUCAAAAUGUAAAACAAAAAAAAACAUAAAAGUGUUCACAAAUGCAAAUAAUCUUCCAAAAACAGAAAUUCUAUUUUAUAAUUCGAAAACGAAACGCACACCUGACAUAUAAAAUAUCAAUACUGGUAUCUAUGAGUUAAUUUAAGAUUUUGGAUCACCAGGCUGAGCCCAAUAGUCAGAACUUAGUCGGAAGUACUUUUAUCAUUGAUAUGGUCAUAAUUAUAAAUAAACUGUUAACAAAACUUUGAAUAUUUUCAUAUACUCAGGAUUAUCUACACAAAGAAUAACUAACCUCAGCUGUAGUUGAAAUACCAUUCGGAAUUAUGUUUUUUCCUUUUUAUAUAACUUUUUAUGGCCCCGCAACGAAGUUGUCGGUGCCACAUAUUUUUACCCUUGUCCGAAAUUUCCGUAAUUCUGUAAUUCUGUAAUUCCGUAAUUCCGUAAUUCCGUAAUUCCGUCAUUCCGCCAAUAACCCAUUAUACGGAGUUUUUUUCUUAACGCCUUCAGAUAAUGAGCUGAUUUUUGGUAUGUGAGUUAACCAUGAUUAGUUACAGAUCAAGUUCACGUUUCGCUCCUCUCUGGUAAUUUUUGCGAAAUUACGGGCUUUGCACUUUGAUAAAUUGUUGAAAAUCACAGUUAUACGGACUUUUUUUUCUAAACGCUUUCAGAUAUUGGGAUGAUUUUUGGCAUGUGAGUUAAUCAAUAUGAGUUACAGAUCAAAUUUAAGUUUUGUUCUGCUCGGCUAAUUUUUGCCGAAAUUACGGGCUUUGGACUUUGAUAAAUUGUUGAAAAUCACAGUUAUACGGACUUUUUUUCUAAAGGCUUUCAGAUAUUAGGCUGAUUUUUGGUAUUUGAGUUACUAUGAUGAGUUACAGAUCCAGUUUAAGUUUCGUUCCGCUCGACUAUUUUUUUCGGGCUUUGAACUUUAAUAAUUUUUAAAAAAUCACAGUUAUACGGACCUUUUUUCUAAAUGCUUUCAAAUAUUUGGCUGAUUUUUGGUUUGUGAGCUAACCAUGAUGAGUUACAGAUCAAGUUCAAGUUUCAUUCCCUUCUGCUAAUUUUUGCAAAAAUUUAAGGGUUUACAAAUAUGAAAAUUGUUGAAAAUCACAGUUAUACGCACUUUUUUUCUAUACGCCUCCAUAUUUUGAGCUGAUUUUUAAUAUUUGAGACUACCAUCAUGUUUCUGUCCACAUGUGUUAUUGAAAUUGCAGAUUUUUCAACUUUUUGAGACGGGCCAUUCGUGUCGCUGUGACCCAUCUAGUUUGAUUCUGCGACACUGAUGAAUGUGUUUUUUUUUUGUAGACAAAACACAUAUCUGGCGUACAAAACAUAUAUCUGGUAUCUAUGAUGGAUUUGUUUACUAGUUUUUGUAAUGAGUUUGGUAUACUAUUUCAGUACCGUUUGAGCUUUUGAUUUUGCCAUUUAAUUAGGGACUGUCCAUUUGAAUUUUCCUCGGAAUUCAUUUUUUUUUGUGAUUUUACUUUUCAUUUUUAUUCCCUUUGCAGAUGUUAUCACGCAAUGCAGAGUUAAUCAAUCCCCAGGAUAUGAGAUGUCUCUCAGAAUAUGUACUUUAUUUCCAAAAAGGUUGUCAGGCAUUAAUUGUAUCAGAAUAUAAGGUAGGCAACCAUUACUGUUAUUGUGAUAAUAUGGUUACUUGUGAACUGCAAUUCAUCCACAUAGUAGGUGGUGCUUUGCAUUAAUAUAUAUGUUAAAAGUGUUAUAGUCUAGUUAAUUAAGAUAACUAUUGCCAUUCGAAUUAUAUUAAAAAUAAACGAAACCCUAUAAAAAUGAGAAUGGAAACGCAAACGGCGUCAAAGAAACAGCAGCCCCAAAAAAACAGAAAACAGCCAAUGGCUACUAUAAUAGGUCUUCAAAACAGCGAAAAAUCCCGUAUCCGGAGGAAGGCUUCAACUGGCCUUUUGGAAAAAAGAUAUAUUAGUUCAGUGAAAAAGGACGCCACACUAUCUACGAAACAUUAAAAUGAUCUAAAAUACUAAAACUAAAAACAAAAACAAAAACGCAAGACAGACUAGAAGUUCCUGACUUGAGACAUGCGCAAAAUGUGCCGGGGAUAAAAAACUUUGUGUGAUCUCAACUCAUCCUCUAUAUCUCUAGCCAAUUUGGAAUAAACAUCCACACACAUCAAAACGCAGAGUAAAAUUUCAAUUUAAAGGAAGCCCGAUUCCGAUGUUGGAAGAGGUAUGCUCAUGUAUCAUAGAUCUAUCAUAUAUUGACGCUAAUUUUUUUCGUUAUUUUGAUAGUAGAACAAUCUAGAAUUACUUUAAAAGAUAUUUUGUUUUGUACUGCAUGUAUUUCUCUUUUUAAAAAUUUACAUUUAAUUCUGAUCUUUUUUUUAUAGGUAUGACAUAGGAGUGAAAAGAUAUUUGGAAGCUCAACAUUUGAACAUGCUCUUUACAAAACAAUAAAAAUUACCAACGUCACAAUUUAUAUUAAAUUGCUUUUGUCUUUUUUCAAUACUUCAAACAAUUAACAUAGAUAAUUAGAAAUGAAGUUUUUAAUUAGUAUUCCGAUUUCUAUUGUGUGAAUGAAGAAUAUCCUGCAUUUAGUUAACUAAUGUACAAAAAAAUAGUCGUAAAAAAAUAUAUAUUUU
rnacentral:lncRNA from 1 species